GUUACAUUCCAGAAGGUGGGUACCUACCACACCACUGCUAAUAUUUUGUGGGAUUUUACUUGCCUUCAGAUAUGUAAGGAACAUAAAAGAUUGUGUCUGAGAGGCUUCGGAGAACGGGCCCAGCAUGAAUCCCAGGGAUGAAACCUCAGGUUGUGAGUGUUGGCAGAAAGUGCUUUUACCCACUGAGCCAUCUUGCCAGCCCAAGAAGGGACCAACUUGUAACAGUCUUUGCAACUAGAAUGGAAACUCAAAAAUGUAUGUCCCAAAACAAGUGACUUAUCUACCUGUCAGGAAUAUGACAGAACUUGGCACAAAGUGUAAUCUGUAGGUCUUGGACUUCCUACCGUGACAUGCUGACUCUGAAAUUCUUAAUUCUGUAUAGUCCUCUCACAGUAUUAAAAGUAAAUGUAAUUUGAA
rnacentral:sRNA from 1 species